GGAACCUGGUUGAUCCUGCCAGUAGCAUAUGCUUGUCCUAAAGACUAAGCCAUGUAUGUACAAGUAUAAAAGUAUUCUAUACUUGAAACUGCGGACGGCUCAUUACAUCAGCAAUUGUUUCUUUGAUGGUACCUUUACUACAUGGAUACCUGUAGUAAUUCUAGAGCUAAUACAUGAGCAAAGACCCGACUCGC
rnacentral:rRNA from 1 species